AGUGAACGCUGGCGGUAGGCCUAACACAUGCAAGUCGAACGGCAGCACAGUAAGAGCUUGCUCUUACGGGUGGCGAGUGGCGGACGGGUGAGGAAUACAUCGGAAUCUACUUUUUCGUGGGGGAUAACGUAGGGAAACUUACGCUAAUACCGCAUACGACCUACGGGUGAAAGCAGGGGAUCUUCGGACCUUGCGCGAUUGAAUGAGCCGAUGUCGGAUUAGCUAGUUGGCGGGGUAAAGGCCCACCAAGGCGACGAUCCGUAGCUGGUCUGAGAGGAUGAUCAGCCACACUGGAACUGAGACACAGUCCAGACUCCUACGGGAGGCAGCAGUGGGGAAUAUUGGGCAAUGGGCGCAAGCCUGAUCCAGCCAUACCGCGUGGGUGAAGAAGGCCUUCGGGUUGUAAAGCCCUUUUGUUGGGAAAGAAAAGCAGCAGGUUAAUACCCCGCUGUUCUGACGGUACCCAAAGAAUAAGCACCGGCUAACUUCGUG
rnacentral:rRNA from 1 species